UCUCUCAUUUCUUAGGCUCAAACGCCCUUGGUAUCCUGGAGCCUCAUCUUUUCAAGCUAAGAGUUGUGCAUGAAGCAGAAUGGUGGGGCUUUAUGGGUGAAACGGAAAUGACGGCUGCGACUUUGAAGGUAUUCGUUAUGGCAAAGAUCUCGUGUGGCAUAAGGAUGCGUCCCGGGUUAGCGAACUUCAUUAGGCUCUGUUUCUUGGUACAAUAGAGAAGGCUUUGAGGCACUGUGAUUUUUUUUAUUUUUCAUUUCAGGAAUGGGGCUGAACUUGUUUAAGGUGUAGUCAAGUAACGGGCUAGAUAACAGUCUUAUUCUUGUUAGUUGUGGAAUAAAAGGUGAUUGUUAAAAUAGGAAAUAAUGGAUUGUAUUCUUAUUUAGUCCCUUGAUUGGUGUAAUGGCUGGACCAUAUAUUUUGGACCAUAUAUUAUGCCUUAUGGCACUUCUGUAAUUGCUGAGAAUUAUCAAUAUAAAAGGGAAUGAAGUCUAACUCAUUUCCUAGCUCUUUCUUUUCUCUAAA